UUGGCCCUGAAUCAAGGCUGCUGGCUUGCUGUAGCCACUGGUUUCAAACAGGCGCCCAAAGAAAUGUCUUCCUAUGGUCUGUUGGCUGUUCAAUUGCUUUAGACUAGAACAGCCAAUUCAGUUGGAAGCAACAAGC
ensembl:snoRNA small nucleolar RNA SNORA2/SNORA34 family